UACGAAGGGGGGCUAGCGUUGCUCGGAAUCACUGGGCGUAAAGGGUGCGUAGGCGGGUCUUUAAGUCAGUGGUGAAAUCUCCGAGCUUAACUUGGAAACUGCCAUUGAUACUAUCAGUCUUGAAUACCGUGGAGGUCAGCGGAAUAUGUCAUGUAGCGGUGAAAUGCUUAGAUAUGACAUAGAACACCAAUUGCGAAGGCAGCUGACUACGCGAAUAUUGACACUGAUGCACGAAAGCGUGGGGAUCAAACAGG
rnacentral:rRNA from 1 species